UGCCUGGCGGCCUUAGCGCGGUGGUCCCACCUGACCCCAUGCCGAACUCAGAAGUGAAACGCCGUAGCGCCGAUGGUAGUGUGGGGUCUCCCCAUGCGAGAGUAGGGAACUGCCAGGCAU
rnacentral:rRNA from 58 species